rnacentral:rRNA from 1 species
UACGUAGGGGGGCAAGCGUUGUCCGGAAUUAUUGGACGUAAAGCGCGUGUAGGCGGUCCACUAAGUCGGCUGCGAAAGUCCAGGGCUCAACCCUGGGAUGCCGGUCGAUACUGGUGGACUAGAGUCCGGAAGAGGCGAGUGGAAUUCCCGGUGUAGCGGUGAAAUGCGCAGAUAUCGGGAGGAACACCAAUGGCGAAGGCAGCUCGCUGGGACGGUACUGACGCUGAGACGCGAAAGCGUGGGAGCAAACAGG